UACGUAGGGGGCGAGCGUUAUCCGGAUUCAUUGGGCGUAAAGCGCGCGCAGGCGGGUUGCUAAGCGGGACCUCUAAUCCUGGGGCUCAACCUCAGGCCGGGUCCCGAACUGGCAGCCUCGGGUUCGGUAGGGGAGAUCGGAAUUCCCGGUGUAGCGGUGGAAUGCGCAGAUAUCGGGAAGAACACCGAUGGCGAAGGCAGAUCUCUGGGCCGCAACCGACGCUGAGGCGCGAAAGCUAGGGGAGCGAACAGG
rnacentral:rRNA from 1 species